CUCCCUCUCCCAUCUCUGUUUAGGUGACAAGGUAUCAAUCACUCUAUAGCCACGGCUGGCCUGGAAUUCUCUGUAGGCCAAAUUGGCCUCAAGCUCAGAGAUAAACAUCUGCCUUCCAUGAGAUGAAAGGCAGAAAGGAAGGAGGCCAAACGACUUCACCCCUGCAGGUCAGGAUCUACUGCACCCACCCAUGUCUACAAUCCCAGCAGCUGGCACAGGGCCUGGCACAGAGAAGAUCGGUAAACACUGUGGUGGAAGAGCCAAGUUCGAGACUAAGCCUUGCUUCCAGUUCAUUCAGUGACUUCACCUCUUGGAGCCUCCUUUCCAUCUACAAAGACAAAGGUCACAGCCACCCCUCUCCAGAUUCUGUGUUUCUGCUGUUCUCACUGGCAACCGGACAAUGUCCCUGGAGCACUAGGGUUUUGUUUGGCUCUAUUUGUUGAGACAGGGACUAAACUCCUCAUCUUCCUACUCUACCUCCCUCAUGAGUCCUUUGUGUGCUUGCCCCUCUGCCUGGUGCACACAUGAAAUUGUCACUGCAGGAAAUAGAAGGUUAUCAAAGGCCACGCCUGUCAUCACCACACACAGCUCACAUGAGGGACCCUAUAUAAUAACACAGUUGUGGCAUUCAUGCAAUGGUACCAGAAAUCAUUCGUAACUUGUUGGCAUAUCUUGAGAACUCUACGAAAUAUGCACAUAUAAACUGAGCAGUGCAGCUUGGCAUCAGGUUUCUCUAGAAGGCAAAAAGAGAAUUGCAUGCAUUGGAGGUUUAGGACGACUUUAAAAGUCAGGACCACAAUGCAGUGUGGUGCAUAGUAACUGCCCCUAGGUGGUUAAGUAGAGAAAUUUGGUGAACUGACGUGUGCCAGACAAAGUAAUAGGAUUAAAAAGAACAAUUCGAAGGGCAGGGGAAGGAACUGCUGUCGUCAUCUUAAAAUCAGACAAGAUGGAUAUAAUUCUUGCACAAUAGGAAUUCCACCUAAAUUAGGUGCGUAAGUUGGGGAGAAGCAGCGAAUGGUUGGUACCCCACUGCCCAGAAAAGACCCUGUAUCCCUCCAGCCCGGAAAGGCCACCCAUGGUACUGUAACCUCCCGGUUCUUUCUCAACUGAGGGAGCGCACAAUUGGAUUAGACCUUGCCAUUAGAGAAAUUGGUCUCUAGAGAGCAGCUCUGAGAUCAUUCGAGCAGAAAAGUGAGAAAAAGCAUUUUACGCCUUGCGGAUGCUUCUGAAACUAUGCAUAAAACUGAGAGCCGGGCCUGCCGAGCGCCAGACUCUGGCUACCAGUUCCGUAUUAGAUCAAGGGAUAAUAAAUGUGCGGAUGAACAUUU
rnacentral:sRNA from 1 species